CGGGCGGCUGUGUUCAGUGAUGGGGAUCAGUGUGUUCGGGGGAGCCGCCGGUCGGACACACGGCGCCGGAUCCGCGGAGGAAUGAGCUCCGGAAAACACUUCAACACGUGAUUUUACCGACAGCAUAGAGCCGGCGUGAUUCUCCAGUUCCUGCAGGCGGAGAACACUUGAGGAUCACGGUGUGGAAGAGGAUCUUUUCCGCUCCCUCGUGGCAGGAAACUGAAGACCACAAGCCUCUGUUUACCAAAGGGAACUGACAGUUCAUUUGGGCUCUGGCACCUGGAUGAUGAACUCCAAAUGACGUCUCCUCCAGGGUGUGUGUCUCUCCCUGGUGGAACCAUGCAGCUGCUCUAGGGGGGUG
rnacentral:lncRNA from 1 species